UGUGGGUUCCUUUGAUUCUUUCCGGGCCGCCUGAGGGUGCAUGGAUAUAGUUAACAUCUCCUGUGUCAGUAUCUUAUCUCCUCCGUCACGUGUAGAGGAACCCUGUUUCCCAACCUUCAAAGAGGUUAAACGACUUGCUCAUGAUCAUCCAUCUGGUCUGCACCAAAGCCCCUGCGGGGUUCUGACUCAAGAGCCACACUCGCCCUUAACUCUGCGCUGCUCUCGAAUUCCUUUUAGUUUUUCCAGAACCGAUGAAGCUGCUGCAUCUAUAAUUCAGCCUGAGUUUAAUCUAUAAGGGCAACAGUUCCCAAGGGAAAGUUACAGAGUCGGCGGGACGCUCCAGCAACUACGGGUCAGAUCCGAGGUUCAGCGGAUCCCGAAGUUUGCCAGGCCAAGGUUUCCAGGUGCUGAGAGCGAAUGUAUGAGGGCCAAUUUUCGGAGACGAGGGCUGCUCACCGGGUGCACGGGUGCAGGCUGGCUCCAUCCAGUUCACUUAACACCUCCGACUUAAUCUGCAUUGCAGUAUGGUGCUGGGCCCUGCUACAUUGGUCCGUUUAAAAAUCAGUACAAUACUUUGAGAGAGCGUCAGCUGUAUUUAAAAAUUUUUUCCCCCAUUACAAAAGAAGUAACCCUGAUCUUACAUUGUUAAAAACUGCACAGUGUAGAACUUGGAGAAGUUCCCCCAAAGUCCCCCGCACUCCUGUGAACUGUCUUCCUUCCGUUGUUGUUGUUUUUCUCUUUGUAUGCACUUUGUUAUAUUUCCAUAUUCCAAUUGGGGAAACUCAGGCUGAGGGAAGGCAAAAAAUAAACUACUCCUGAAGGC